CUUUUAGAAAAAAUACACAAUGAAAAGAUGGAAGUCUAUCUCUUGCCAAUAUUUCAUUUUACAGAAACGCUGAUGAAAGGCGAUCUUUUAUGCAGUUGUGCUGUCUACGGAUGAUAACAGGAAAUAAUGGCAAUGCCCAAGAGCAGACCCUCGGGGAUGUCAAAAGAAAGAAAUUGCUGAGUGGAUUUCCAAAAAAAAAAAAAAAAUAUGGGCAAUAUAUAGAUAUUUGGCAUACAUAUUUUGAUUACGGAUUAGUAUAUGCACCUUAUCAGGACGCAAGACUCACGAUGGGUGUAACCGGUUGACAGAGGGUGCUUACUCAUCCAAGGUAUCAGAUCCGCCUAUUGUAUGUCCAGGAAUCCGUGUUUCCUAUACUGUUCGUUAUCUUCACCUUGCAUAUUCCUUAUAGGAGUAGUGACAUUGAUCACAGUUCGUUAUCUUCACCUUUCAUAAGGACAUGGACAACAAUACUCCAUGAAUAGCUAACGUGGUAUGAUGAUGUAAAGUGCAUAAAAGGCACUCAUAAGAAGACAAUUCCUGCAAUCCCUGUGUGUAUCGUGGCAGAAUUACAACCAAAAGAAGACAACUGUUUGUGUAGUUUUGCAGUUUUUGAGGAAACUAGAAAAAAAUCGCUUUUUUCUGAAAACCCAUAUAGAGGAAGCGGACAUAUAGAAGAAAAUUGACUCUUCUCAAGAAACCUGUACACUUGGCUCCUGUUUAUGACUACAAAAAUAUGUACACUUGGCUCUUGUCUAUCACUACAUUGAUAACAGUUUACGUUAUAGGCUAAUAAGAAAUAUGUGUCCUGCAUUAAAACCAACAGGAAAAUAAGGGAUUGGGACCGGAUGACCCUUUUUAAAUAUUUUAAAGUGAGGUUUACACACUUAAAAUCGUGAAAGGUGUCGAAUGCCGAUUUCAAAAUGGAGUGGAGUAAACUGGAAAAUAUUUUUGAAAGGAUUACAAAAAAAAAAAACCACGAUAGUUGGAAAAUCUGCUGUAACGAUCAAAGAGAAUCCAGGAAAAAUCAAUACACGGGUCUUUAAAGUAGACGACAUCAGAGUAAAUAAUGAACUAAUCGAAGGAAAGAUAUAUGACGAUAGAAUCAAAAUGUGCGGCAGAAUUACUAUAUCAUGCAAGGUGGGGAGCACAGUACAGAGACUAAACGUAAACAGUGACAAAUUCAGUUAAUGUUAUCGAAAUACUAGGGAGAACAGAUUAUUUCUUAUUUCUUAUGAACUAAGGUGUUGUUAUAUUGUUGAUUUUCCCGGUAAUUAUAUAUACUGAGAAGUCACUGGAGGUUUGUCUUAUUUCAUUAUCAAUGUAUAAUAUAGUUUGGCGGGGUGUAAUGCACUUAUUUUAAAAAUACAGUCCUUU